GACGAACGCUGGCGGCGUGCUUAACACAUGCAAGUCGAACGGAAAGGCCCUGCUUUUGUGGGGUGCUCGAGUGGCGAACGGGUGAGUAACACGUGAGUAACCUGCCCUUGACUUUGGGAUAACUUCAGGAAACUGGGGCUAAUACCGGAUAGGAGCUCCUGCUGCAUGGUGGGGGUUGGAAAGUUUCGGCGGUUGGGGAUGGACUCGCGGCUUAUCCGCUUGUUGGUGGGGUAGUGGCUUACCAAGGCUUUGACGGGUAGCCGGCCUGAGAGGGUGACCGGCCACAUUGGGACUGAGAUACGGCCCAGACUCCUACGGGAGGCAGCAGUGGGGAAUAUUGCACAAUGGGCGGAAGCCUGAUGCAGCAACGCCGCGUGCGUGAUGACGGCCUUCGGGGUGUAAACCGCUUUCGCCUGUGACGAAGCGUGAGUGACGGUAAUGGGUAAAGAAGCACCGGCUAACUACGUG
rnacentral:rRNA from 1 species